CGGCAGACCUCUUGCUCCAAAGCACCUGAGUAUCGAUGGUUGUAAGAUGUUCAUCAUCAAGUCGCUUCCAUGUUUUAAUAGAUUUGACAUCUCCCCACCCUCCUUUCCCUGUUUUCUCCAAAGAUGCUACUACCAUCCUUGCCCUCCUUGACCAUCCAGCCUUCCCAUAAGCGUGAUAUCCAAAUCCUCCACCAUAGCAAAGAUUUAUGUCCAUCAACUUGCCACAAAAAUCAUUUAGGUGAUCAUGGCCAGCGAAUGCUGCCUUUACAUCACCAGCUUCCACCAUAGUGGUGAAGAAACCUGAAUUUAUUGAAGCAGAG